AACGAACGCUGGCGGCAGGCCUAACACAUGCAAGUCAAACGGCCCUUCGGGGCAGUGGCGCACGGGUGCGUAACACGUGGGAAUUUACACUUCGGUAAGGAAUAACACAGAGAAAUUUGUGCUAAUACCUUAUAAUGACUCCGGUCCAAAGAUUUAUCGCCGAAGGAUAAGCCCGCGCCUGAUUAGGUAGUUGGUGAGGUAAGAGCUCACCAAGCCGACGAUCAGUAGCUGGUUUGAGAGGAUGAUCAGCCACACUGGUACUGAGACACGGACCAGACUCCUACGGGAGGCAGCAGUGAGGAAUAUUGCGCAAUGGGGGAAACCCUGACGCAGCCAUGCCGCGUGAGUGACGAAGGCCCUAGGGUUGUAAAACUCUUUCAGAUGCGAAGAUAAUGACGGUAACAUCAGAAGAAGCUCCGGCUAAAUUCGUGCCAGCGCCGCGGUAA
rnacentral:rRNA from 1 species